UGGAACAGAUGACUCAAUUCGAUGUCAUGCGUUCAAUCUCACUUGAUACAGUCGAUCAUGAAUGAAAGCAACCAUGUCUCAUACAGUAGUGCAUGGCUGCUUUAAAGGUAAUGUUUCUUGAUUGUUAGUUGACUCUCAAGAAUAUCCGAUGCGCUCAUCUCAUUUCAACAGUUAGCUUGAGCUAAACCAAGUCAUUAUGCUCUGUCUAUUUUGGCUGUCCAUGUGUUACAGAAGCUGCUGUUUUAUAGCCUAUGUUUUAUAGGUAUUUCUCAAGUUUGUUAUUCUAAUCUAGCAUUGUAACUCAGUAGUGAAGCAGGAAUCCUUAGUAAUCUUUUGUUCGUUUCUUUUAGGUGAAGGAAAGAUAAACUUUGUACAUACUGCCCGUCAAGCGCUGAGCUUAUGGAAUCUUUAUAUCAGUUAGGUAACGCAGUAUUAACUGUUUAUAUUUAAUGGUUGUUAAGUCGUAACAUGGUA
rnacentral:rRNA from 14 species